rnacentral:lncRNA from 13 species
GUUCUGUUCCCCCAUUCUACAGAUGAGGAAGCUAAGUCACAGAGAGCCUUGGUGACCCACCCUGGGUCCCACAGCCCAUAAAGGGUAGCCCAGGAAGUUGAAGCCAGGUGGGCCGGCUGCAGAAAACCUGCAGGAACCUGAGUGCAAGGUGGCUUUACUGGGGCUGAGGCCUCCAGCAGGGAAAGCAGCCUCCUGAGUCGAUCUGGGUGGCCUGACCCUGCCCGAGGUCUGGGCAGGGGUCCUGGGGCAGCCUUUGAAACCCUCUCCAACGGACACACACCCGCUGGGAGCCCCUGGACGAACUCCUGCCCCCAGGAAACCGAAACUCCCUGUGGACACCAGGACCCUCCUCCCAGAGGAAGAACAGCUGAGCUGCUCCCUGACAGAAAAAGACAGUUCCAGAACUCGGGAAGUUUCGUUUGAGACAAGGUCUUGCUCUGUCGCCCAGGCUGGAGUGCAGUGCUGCAGUCACGGCUCUCUGAACCUCAACUUCCCAAGCCCAGGUCAUCCUCUAGGCUCUGGGACCCCAGGUGUGUGCCACCAUGCUCAGCUCCUGGCUUUAUUUUUUUGUAGAGAUGAGGUUUCGCUAUGUACCCUAGGCUGGUCUCAAAUUCCUGGGCUCAAGUGAUCCUCCUGCCUCAGCCUCCCAAAGUGCUGGGAUUACAGGUGUGAGCCACCGCGCCUGGCCUCAUCUGAUCCUUUUAACAGCCCUAUGAGCAGAUGCAAUAAUGGUCACCUCCGUUCCAUAGAUGAAAUGGUUGGGGCUCGAGGCAGACCACGUGAUUAACAGAGGCUAGGUCUCUUUGGGGACCAAGUUUUCAAAUAAUAAAAAUAGUCAUACUGAAAGUAACA